AUUUCAUUCAUUUCCCUUUAUCUACAACUUGCAGUUCAUUCAUAUAAUUACAAAAUGAUUAUUUCCGGUGGAAAAUGAAUCGAAGCUUUAAAAGAACUUACUAACUCAUUGAAAGAAAAUAACAAUAACGAUGAUAAUAUUGAAAAAAUCGAAGAAGAAAACAAUCAACUUCGUACAAAGAAAAUGGAGUUAAUGGUCAAUUUAGAACGUCCAUCCGAAGUUGGUAGUUCUCUUGUUCUGGUCAAAGACAUGUUAGCACGACAGAAAAAUUUAAAUCAAUGUCAACUUGAGUUCAAGCAGAAUUCGAUUGUACGAUUUAAAGAUCGUUCUGGUGAAGUAAAAAUGGAAAAUUCUUCGUUGAAACAAAAACUACUAAAAGACAUUGAUAAUUUAAUGACUUUGCCUUACCAUGAUGUUUUAGAUAAAGUCAUGGAAUUUGAGGAAAUAAUUGCUGAAAAUCUGUCAGUUAUUGAAGAACUAGCUAAACAGCAUUAUAAACUCAUUCAAAAUGAUGU